GGUGUUUCCCCCGAGGUUGCAAGCUACGAGUUCCAAGCAGAGCCCUACUGAGGUUUCACCAGGGCCUGUCGCGGUAGUGCUGGGAAGCCACUGGCAGUACCCCCGCGUGUUCUCGCCAAAAUGAGGUUUCAAACACUGUUGUGGUGGACUGUAGAUUCUGCAUAUAAGAUGGAUCCUGUGAAGAUGGCUUGUUGUUUGCCUGGCAGACCAGAGCUUCUCUCCCUGCUCAGCUCCACCCUCCAUUUGGGUGGGGCAGGAAACCUGGAACCUCCCCCUUUCCUGGGGACCACCCUGUUACAGUUGCAGGCAAGCGACCUUGAGGAGAGCUGCCUCCACUGAUGCAGAUAUCCCUUCAUGAAUAGGGGAGGUACCAUCCAUUUUCCCUGCCCUCAUUUACAUGCCGCCACCUUGGAUUACAAGUCCCACUAUGCCAUGAGCCGGACUUCCUGUAUCAGGGACAGCUGAAAAGGAGCAAGGAGCAAAGAUCACUCGGAAGAGACAUGUAGGUGAGGAACACAUGGAGAUACUGCUUCUGGUCUUGGUAGAGACAAUGGCAGCCAUUAUGUUGAUGGGUGGUAUAUUUUGAUUUUUGAUUCUCUCCUUCUAUUUCAGCUAACUGGGACAUGCGUAACCUUUGUUUUUUGUUUUUGUUUUUUUUUUUUUUUUUGAUGGUUCUUUGACAGAGAGUACCUUAAACUUGUGGCAUGCUUUUGAGUUUCAAUGGCCUGGUUUCAGGCUGAGCCUAUUUGGUCAUUUGCUUAUGAAGGAAUGGAUAAUUUUUGGAGUUUUAUUAGGAAGCUAUUAUUUGAAAUACUUUCUUCUCUCUUUAUGCACACCAAUUCUAUU